rnacentral:rRNA from 1 species
UACGGAGGAUCCGAGCGUUAUCCGGAUUUAUUGGGUUUAAAGGGUGCGCAGGCGGAAUAUUAAGUCGGCGGUGAAAGUUUGCAGCUUAACUGUAAAAUUGCCGUUGAUACUGGUAUUCUUGAGUGUAUAUGAAGUAGGCGGAAUUUGUAGUGUAGCGGUGAAAUGCAUAGAUAUUACAAGGAACUCCGAUUGCGAAGGCAGCUUACUAAAUUACAACUGACGCUUAGGCACGAAGGCGUGGGUAUCAAACAGGAUUAGAUACCCGCGUAGUCCCU